ACUUCAUUAGACGUUGGAACUCGUUGGCGGUGGAAGUUAUAAAAAUGGUCGUGCUCUGAAUUCUCACCAGUUAUUCUACAAUUUGACAAAGUUGACAAUUGAAUCUGUCGCUUUCAGUGUGGUGGAAUAAAUGUGUCGUACAAACGUUUCAAUUCAAACUUUUAUUCAACAUUUUUCUCCGGGAUCGUGACUCACCCUUUGCUGCAUCAGACCCAAACUCUCAAAAACAAUCCAUGUUUCUCAAUGGCAAACAAUGACUAAUUUACUGUGCUAUAACAUCACUUCGUGGAGGGCCUACCUGUCACCAGUCGUUAGCAGCUGCCAAUUAAGUCAUCAAAAAGUAAUUUGAGGCCAGCCAUCAUAACCACACAAUAUGCAAGUUUUUCUUGUGCAGGUGUUUACCUGUCAUCAGCAGUAAUCUCAGGAUCAUCGCUUGGAUAAAGAGCAUCCCAUCGCAUUGGGAAAACUACCGACGAUGUCAAUCGAGUUACGGAUCUCUCUUUUCCCCCUUUAUUUCAAUGUCCUC